rnacentral:rRNA from 1 species
AGGUUAAGUUAGAAAGGGCGCACGGUGAAUGCCUUGGCACUAGGAGCCGAUGAAGGACGGUACUAACACCGAUAUGCUUCGGGGAGCUGUAAGUAAGCUUUGAUCCGGAGAUUUCCGAAUGGGGAAACCC